UUUUUGGACUAACUAAUAUAUCUUGAAGAUAAAUAUUUUAUCUUCUACCGUAAUCGUAAAAUUUUCCGAGAGGGUCAAAUAUCUCUGAUAUUUUAGAUAUUAAUUUAGGGUAUAUCUCUGACACUUUAAAUAAAUAUCUAUAAAAUUUGGUCAUCAUUUACACCUCUACUCCUCAUUCUAUACGUGUUUUCUUAGUUACCUUACGUUUUCAUAUUAUCGGAUUAAGCAUAGGGUGCAAUGGGAUCUUAAAUGAAUCGCAAUAGGGAUAUAAUGAAAUGUGUUUAUGGUUAUCAUCAAUGUGUAGAAAUACAUUGACUUUGCGUCAGAGUGCUCUGAAAACAACAAUUGACGGAUACCCUCAUUACAAACAAGUUUAGCUCAAUUAUUGAGUCUUCAGAAAAGAACACUCAUCUCACCAUCUAACUUCCUUUGAAAGUAGACCUAGUUGCUUAGAGACCGUAAUUGGUGUACAACUAGAAAUACUAAGAAUUAAACAGAUGAAAUAAAGAUUCAAAUGCUAGACCAUAAGCCCACACCCAAAGUUGGGCCGGGGCCCAUCUUCUGAGGACACCCAAAGAUAGGCACCCACCAAGCAUUCAUCUUCCCGUCCGUCGGCGCCGCCUAGUCCGACGACCAACAUUGCCACAAUAACAUCACCAUUAGCCCAAGCCCAACAAACGCAACGGAAGAUCUGUCGGAUCCAGCAACCACAACCGAGCUUUCCGGUCAAAAACAAUCGACGAGAAACACCUUCGCCAACCUGACCCAAAUCUCGACCUACCUAAAGCCUCCGCCAAUCACAACCGACUAAACACAGAAUCCCCGCCUAUCAAAAUCCACCAAGCUAACGUUGUCGAAGCUGUCGUCGACCCCAAAACAAUACUGUCAAAAAAACCUAUCCCCACACCGCCAAAGCUAGUCGAAGAUAAGCCCUCGCCUUCUGCAAGGAUCUGGACUGCCCGCCUCCGCUAGAAACGAGUCCCCGCAACCACCCUGCUCAAACAGUCUCUCACCCUAGAGAGAAACCCUAAUGCACAGAGAACCGACUUAUUUGUAUUUAUUUAUAUAUAAAUUUAAUAAAUUAGUAUUUCAAAAAAAAUUUUAUUUUCUUGAGUAUCCUUACUUUUUUCCAAUAUCUCUCAUUUUCAAUUAGUACCAUUUAGUCUAAUAGCAUAGUUUCUCAUUUAGUAAGUAGGAGGUUGUGAGUUGACGUUGUAAUUUAACUGUUAAAAAAUAAAAAACUUUCUUUUUAAAAGUUCCGACGUAUAGGUAAAUAACGAUAUUUUAAAUCUUAGCUCAUCAUUACAAAGGUUGCUAUUACAAAUGGUCAGAACCUUAUAUCCUCUAAGACUAGGACACCUGUUACAUAUCUACAGUCACAGUCCAGAACCCAGAUUUACAUGCAUGUAAGAUACAGAUAAUGAACAUCAUCAGUUAAGACCUCUGUCCAAAAGUCUUAAUUUCAAAAUCAAAAUGAACAGAGAAUCUACAAAGGAAAUCACUGCAUCUCUAUUCAUUUCUUAAUAUUUAUUGCAUUCUAAAACAAUAUGGGUAGAAUUAAAAUGAAAAAAACAAAUCUGGGGAGAAUUAAGAAACAACUACAACCAAUUGGAGGAUUGGAGAUCUUUAAUCCCAUCUUCUAAACUCAGGAACCAUAUAAAUUUCAUUGACAUGUGACCAAAAAGUUGACUGGGCCAUCAAUGCCUGAUUAUAUUCUUUCUGCUUGUCUUCCUUUUUUCUUUUUUUUCUUUUUUUCCUUGUGCUAUUUUAUAUAAAUGGUGUUGAUUUGGUAAUACCCAUUAAUGUGAAUUAUGAUCAUGAACUUAACCAAAGAGUUAUGAACUUCAUGAACUUAUGCAGUUAUGUACACUAAACCUGCAAAUCUCACAUGCAAAAUCACCACCUGACAUUUCCCCUCUUACAAUUAUAGAAGAGAGCCAGAGAGCCAGAGAGCAGAAAAUGAUUGAAUGAAACCCCUCCAAUGGUUUAGCCUCAUUCUCUGUCUUGUUCCAUAGUUUUGAAAAUAUCAUGAUCACCCCCCUUCACAGUCACAUUUCACAAUCCUUGCUCCUUGAUGACACAACACACUGUGCAACUCAUUCAAACCAUCCAUAAUAGUCUCUACAACAGGUCCAACAAACCCCCCCCC
rnacentral:lncRNA from 1 species